rnacentral:rRNA from 1 species
UACAGGGGGUGCAAACGUUGCUCGGAAUCAUUGGGUCGUAAAGCGCACGUAGGCGGUUCGUUAUGUCGGAUGUGAAGCCCUUGGCUUAACCGGAGGAAGUGCAUCCGAAACUGGCGAGCUAGAGUACGAAAGGAGGAUCGCGGAAUUCCCGGUGUAGAGGUGAAAUGCGUAGAGAUCGGAAAGAACGACCAACGGCGGAAGCACUCUGCUGGGCCGACACUGACACUGGAGAGACGGAAAGCUAGGGGAGCGAAUGGG